AAUCAAUGAGUGAUAUAUUUCUCCUAGAAGAAAUUUAAAGGUCCCAGUGAAUAAACUACACAGAGAACAAUACCUGUUGUAUUUGUUAGAUGGGACAAUAGAACUGCCAAAAGUUUAAAUCGACAGGUAACUUGCAGGUGAAUCUAUGGAAAACUAAGAUAGGGUUCGCAAUAAAUCUUAUAGUGAUUGUAUAGAAAUUGUACAACAAACAUACAUAAAUUGGGCAAUACAAAUAAUGGAUAAUGAUUGCUGAGACUCUUGCAAUCCAACACAUGGUUGUACUACUAAUUUGACUACAAUGAGAUGAAUGAAGUACAAUACACGUUUACAGCACAAAACAUCAUAAUAGGUGGCAUUUCUCCUCAUCAACAAGUCCAUCAAAAUAUCAGUCAGUUCAAAUUGUGAUCUUAUUAUUGAAAAAUUUCAUCAACCACAUUAGCAUCUUUGUGUAAUAUAAAAAAAUUCUCUCCAAGGUUU
rnacentral:lncRNA from 1 species